CCCCUCCUCGGCGAGCCAUGCGUGCCGCGGGCAGCUGAGGAGCCGCCGGGCGCCGCUGCCAAGUCUCCGCUCCGCUUUUGUCUUGCCCUCCAGUUGAAUGGGAAGAUGGAGAUGGAUGUUGAGGGAGUUUCUCCGCGCCCGGAGCCCAUCCCCCGCUCCCAGGGGGCUGGCGGAGCCUGCCAGGCGCCGGCAUCACGGACCCAGCCCCAGCCGCAGCGAGAACAGCCUCUGCCUCAGGAUGAACUGCCCGGCGAGAGUGCAGGCGCUGAGGACAGCGAAGGUCCCGAGAGGAGACCCAACGGCGAGAAAGGCGAGAGCAAGAGAUAGUGUGGACUGCAAGGUGAUGGAUGCCACCAUGAGCUCACUGCGUGACCUCCAAGAUUCUACAUCACUGACUGUUCCAAGGCUUAUGCUACCCUUCCAGAGAGGUACUAAAAAGGAAGCUUGAGCAGGUGUGGACCCAUCCACUCUUCCCUCUUCCCCUGACUCCAUCAUCCUUUAGUUAUCAGAUUGUUUCAGCCCAUGUCUGAUGGGCUUUCUCCUGUGUGUUCUUUUACAGGGCUCAUUCCUUGGCUAGAGAGAGAAUGGUUCUGGGGAGCUCCUGAAACACACUGAGGAAAGUGCUGCCAUUGCAUAGGACAGACACACAGCUGCUUGAGCCAAGAACCACAUACAGUGGAACUCAAGCCCCUCAUCCUUGCAGACUGAAGCUCUCACCAUGACAGCUCUGAAUUGGACUGCUUUUCCUUUGUUGUCACCUGCAUAACACACAGUUCUCUGUGAUUUUGAGUGAUUGGCUUUCUUUUUUCCUGUCUUUUUCUUUUCUUGGGCCUGGGAAUUAUAAAAAGGAAUUUCUUUAAAUGGUAAAAUUCUGUGAUGAAAUUAGCCUUGUUUAUGUUCUUAGGGAAUUUCUGAUUUGCAAUUCUGUUAAUAGGUAAAUAGGGCUAUGUAGUUUGAUUUGUAUCUUGCCCAUUUAUAGAUUUAAAAAUAUAUUUCCUUUUUUCAAAGUUUGGAUUCAAAUAAUGACCUGAGUCACAUUUGCUUAGCUCCUGAAAAGAUCUCAGUGUGGUAGUGGUUGGAGUUGAAAUAUAAUCAAACUACAUUGUACUUGGGGCUCUUACACACUAUUUGAUAUAAAUGUUAUACUACAAAGGAGCAUAAACCUUACAAGUUGAAAUUUAAUUCCUCUCUGAUCCUGAAGCUAGAGUGGCAAAAAAUUAUGAAUAUCAAAAGUAGCUUUAAAUGCCCCCAAUGUGAGCUAAUCAACAUUAGAACUCACAAAGCUUCCAAAAAAUCAUUGUGUAAGACAAAGCAGGAAUUAGAGAGCGGUCAGUCUCAUCCACAGUUGCUCAGGUGUCUCUGUGGCUUUGCCUGCUUUAAGGGAGGUAAAGAACAAGGCACAUUUCCGUGAUUAGGUUUAUAGAAACUGUAGUAUUUCUGACUGUCCUGUAACUGCCUACCUUCCAAUAAAAUGUUUUCAGUUGACCCAACAACAAUGUCUCUGUUAUUUUCCUACAAAACUGUGUCCUUAGUGGUUUUGUAAGAAAGUCCAGUACAGACCUACAAGUGGUUCACCUGCCAAAGAUCUCAGCUAGGUCUAGAGUUAUUGCUCUUCUUGAAGUUGCAUCAGACCUAUGUGUUUUCUAUACAUAGAGUUGGAGUUGUGUGGCCACCUUCUGUACUCUUCAUGCCAUAGUCAACUCUAGUCAGGGCAUAAUCUCUAACGAUGGUCACUAUUUGCCAUGAUUCUCUAAUUCUGGGGUUCCUGUUUAUUUUGUGAGACUCUCAGACAAGCCACAAACUCUGUGAACCUCAAUUUCCUCAUAUACAAAAUGAGAAUAACAACACUUCCCAUGGUUACGGUGAUAAGUGCCUGUAAAGGAUAUCACAUGAAUGGUACUUUACACAUUGUAAACAGGUUGAGUUGUGACAACACUCAAAAUGGUGC
rnacentral:lncRNA from 1 species